GACGAACGCUGGCGGCGUGCUUAACACAUGCAAGUCGAACGGAAAGGCCCUGCUUUUGUGGGGUGCUCGAGUGGCGAACGGGUGAGUAACACGUGAGUAACCUGCCCUUGACUUUGGGAUAACUUCAGGAAACUGGGGCUACUACCGGAUCGGAGCUGCUGCUGCAUGGUGGGGGUUGGAUAGUUUCGGCGGGUGGGGAUGGACUCGCGGCUUAUCAGCUUGUUGGUGGGGUAGUGGCAUACCAAGGCAUUGACGGGUAGCCGGCCUGGGAGGGUGACCGGGCACAGUGGGACUGAGGUACGGCCCAGAGUCCUACGGGAGGCAGCGGUGGGGAAUAUUGCACAAUGGGAGGAAGCGUGAUGAAGCAACGCCGCGUUCGUGAUGACGGCCUUCGGGUAGUAAACCGCUUUCGCCUGUGACGAAGCGUGUGUGACGGUAAUGGGUAAAGAAGCACCGGCUAACUACGUG
rnacentral:rRNA from 1 species